UACAGAGGAUGCAAGCGUUAUCCGGAAUGAUUGGGCGUAAAGCGUCUGUAGGUGGCUUUUUAAGUCCGCCGUCAAAUCCCAGGGCUCAACUCUGGACAGGCGGUGGAAACUACCAAGCUGGAGUACGGUAGGGGCAGAGGGAAUUUCCGGUGGAGCGGUGAAAUGCGUAGAGAUCGGAGAGAACACCAACGGCGAAAGCACUCUGCUGGGCCGACACUGACACUGAGGAGCGAAAGCGUGGGGAGCGAACAGG
rnacentral:rRNA from 1 species